rnacentral:rRNA from 1 species
UAAGGAAUAUUGGUCAAUGGACGCAAGUCUGAACCAGCCAUGCCGCGUGUGUGAGGAAGGCCUUCGGGUUGUAAAGCACUUUCGGACGGAACGAAAUCGCGCGGGUGAAUAUCCCGCGCGGAUGACGGUACCGUAAGAAGAAGCACCGGCUAACUACGUGCCAGCAGCCGCGGUAAUACGUAGGGUGCGAGCGUUAAUCGGAAUUACUGGGCGUAAAGUGUGCGCAGGCGGCGUCGCAAGUCGAGUGUGAAAGCCCCGGGCUUAACUUGGGAAUUGCGCUCGAAACUACGGUGCUGGAGUAUGGCAGAGGAAGGUGGAAUUCCACGUGUAGCGGUGAAAUGCGUAGAGAUGUGGAGGAACACCGAUGGCGAAGGCAGCCUUCUGGGCCAAUACUGACGCUCAUGCACGAAAGCGUGGGGAGCAAA